GAAGCCGACAGGCUCCAGGCCAGCCCGGGCCGCUCACCGCAGAGCCGCUUCCUGACUCCCCUUCCUGCCCUGCCCCACCCCCAACACACACAGGCCUGGGAGGUUGUCAGUGAGUUUUAACGUAGAGCCUGGAUGCCCCCGCGCAGCCUUCCUGUGAUUUGUUUUCCUUCAUUCUUCACUCGGUCCUUCAUCCAUUUAUCACCCAGGGCACCUGAGCAGGGCAGGGCUGUGGCCACAGCUGGACACUGGCCACACUGCCGUCGGUGGACUUGCUCACAAGUGCAGCUUGAGGCCAUGAAGGGAGGCACAGGGCACGACACAGAGGGUGGGUCUCCCUGCCCAAUCUGGUCUGGGGUCAGUCAGGGCGACUUCCUGGAGGAGGUGGCACUUUUAGCUACAGUUGGAGACAAGGAGCAACUAGGGCUUGGUGACAGGACUGGGAGGUGAGCAAGGACACCCCAAGGUUCUGCCUCCACAGGCAUGGGGGACACAGGGACUCAGCUGGAGGAGCCGGAGGCUUCAGGCCCCAGGAAGACUGCCCACGGAGCCAGAGGCAGGGCUGGGCCACCAGGAGUCCCAGCUGAGAUGGCCACAGAGGGGGUGCGGCAUGCGCAGGGACCUGGUGCAGACGAGCACACCCACUGGGCCGGGCCCCCACCAGGCCCUGGAGACCGUGCUCGGCCAGGAGAGCCCCCAGCAGGGCAGUGGCUCCUUGGACCUGAACAAGCCAGUGCCCCUCGGGAAAGGGUCCGAGUGAGGACUGGGAUGGCAGGGGGGCACCAAAGGCCCUCCCACCCGGCUCCAGGUCCCUCAGAUUGUAACCGAGCAGGAUCCUAUUGUCAUCAGUGACCACUUGGCAUUUGUAACUGCUUAACUGUGCAAUAAUUUAAAGCAUGUUUUGCUGACCAGCAUUGGGCUGGAGAGGAGGCGGGACUCGGGCCCAUCCCCUACCAACACCUCGGAGAAGCGGUCAGGUGUUCUGUGCACCUUAUGGUUCAUAACUCACCCCACUGCACAUGUCUGCAUUGUUUAUAGCCCCGCGGGGUUUCUUUGUGUUCUAUUGUCCCAGCCUGGGCAGACCCUGCAGGGAGAGGUCCCAGGCCUCAGCCCAAAAUGCCAGAGGCAUCUAUCAACCUGACUAUAAACGGCACACGUUUUUCUCUGGAGCACUUUUCCCUGGAGCCCCUUCCUAAGCACCCUCGUUCCAGGUACAAGAAUAUUAAGAGAGUCCCAAAGCCGGAGGAGGACUUCACACCCAGCAGAGGGAAGGGGGCCCUGCGUCUGCAGAACCAGGACAACUUUGCCACCAGCUGCUACCUGAGCGGGGCUGUAACAGAAGAGAACAGAUCUGACUCCACAUGAGUAUAAAAGGAGCCUGAAUUCUGACUGGAGUAGGAUGGCUCUCCAAGACAUUUGCCUGCCAGCCUCUCGCUCCGCCAUCUUCCCGAAUGAAGUCGCUACUCCUUGCCCCAGCACCUCGUCUCCCGGUUUAUUGGCCUGUCGUGCAGCGAGCAGAGCGCGUUUGGACUCGGUAACAGGGUCUCUAUGGAAACCAGCUGCCCCUUGAACUUUUACUAUAAAACCCCGCCCCCUUUCCCCAGCAGGCUCGCAGCCUGGAAGCAUCAGCUGCUGUGACCUCCUUUGCCGGGCGAAGGAGUACAGCUGCCUCUUCUGCUUCAUCAAAACCUCUGUCCUCAAGUCUCAAUUCGGUGAGUGGAGCGCGGAGGCUGCGCUUUGGCAGCAAGACCAUCUCCAUCAACCUUCAUGCACAAGGGCCCCCCAGAAUCUCAUGGAGACGCAGGUUCAGAUGCACCAGCCUCGGGGCAGCCCAGGCAACCCUGAGCCACUGGUCCACAUGAAGGGGACCCCAGAGAGCCCUGGACGCGCCUGGACCAGCACACUGCUCAGACAGCAAGCUGCUGGGAAGGAGGCUGCUGAGGGCGCCUUCCCCCACCCUCCCUAGCCACCGGGGGGUCCCCCCCUCAGAAAGCCCGGCCCCUCACACCCCACCACAAGGCCUCGAAAGCCCCCUCCCUGACCACACAGCCAUCUGCCUGGAGCUGAGCGCUGACCACCCGAGGUCCCUGCAGUGACCCCACCCCGAGGAGCCAGGGUGCAGGGCCCCCCUUCCCUCCCCUCCGUGGAAGCCCCAGCCUCAGAGUGACACGCACACACACUCACACACCCCCAUCGCCCUCCCCCUCCAGUCCCUGUCUGCCCCCCGCCCCACGUGCAGCCCCGUCCCUGCUGUUACGCGGGCCGUCCUCCUCUCCCCCCAGCCGCCUGUCCCAGGCCCGCCUCUGGACUCCCCAGAGCCCACCGCUCUGCCUCCAGAGUCACAGUUUGCAGUGUCCGCCCAACGCCCGCCCUCUCUCCUCUUUCCAGCUACCUCCCUACCGCACCCAUGACCCUCCCCCCUGCACCUCCGCCCUCUCCACCCACUUGCGUCCCCUCCACGCCCCUCCCCUCCCUGUGGCCAGUCCUGGUGUCUCCUCGCCCAACAAGGGCAAUGCAACCCUUCACCCCCAGGCCCGGCCCACUCAGGGGACCGUGACCCAGGCAUCACUCUGACUGGUGGCCACACACCGAGGUGUGCAGCUCCCACUCCAUCACUCUCUGGGGCAGACCCCCUGGUGCUCCAUUGCCCCCGCCCCCAUCCUUCCCGACACAGCCCUCUGCAGCCCAGGGCAGCCACAUGACCCUUGCCUGGACAGUGAGAAGAGACGGCGGCCGGCAAGCCAUCGGGCUUCCAAAAGGCGGUUCGCUGUCUGCCCAUCCUAGGAUGCAGACACAGUGGUGUCCAGGUUCUUGUCCCAUCACAGAAAGAAUUCAGACACGAGACCCCGGGGGUUAAGAAAUAUAGUGGGGACUUACUGAGGGAGGGACAGGACUGUCUCACGGGGAGCGCGGGCAGCUCAGGUGAGCAGCUGCCCUUGUUUCUUUGGCAAGUUGGUUACUUAGGGUAUAAAAGUGAGUGGGCGGAAUAGUCACUGGGGAGGGCAGGUUUGGGGUCGUAUUCCCUGAUCAUCAUCCCAGCUCCACCUUCCCGUGGGCAGGAGGGAUUUUUAUUUCCUUCCUUAGUCUGGAUCGGAAGUGUCACGGCGGCGGUGCGUGAUGGGGACUUCUGAUCCCCAAGGCUGAUUUUAUUGAAAUGAGGGCAUAGUGAGCAAAAGGUCACAUUCAGACACUGGAGAUUCCUGCCUUUCCUCACCUUUCUUUGUUCUUCUCCAGGCCACUUGUCACCCCAAAAAGCAUGAUCCCUUAUCAGCCCGAAGGCUCCUGCUUUUCCUUCUCUGCCCAGGGACCCCUGCUGCUCACGUGAUGUGUGGUUCCCUGCAUUUGGCCUGUGCCCCUCCUUUCUGCCCAGUUCCUGCCAACUGGCCCGCGUCCCCCUUUCCCUGCUCACACCCAGCUGUCUGCCUGCUCUACCAGCUGGAGGUGAGCAGCCUCUUUGCCCACCAACUAAAGGCAGCAGACAGAUGGGACUUCAGUCACCGGUGGUGUUUGCGGCUCCUCUGCUGUCACAUGGGAGGUACACCAGAUCGAAGGGCUUCCGUCACAUCCAGCCUGACUGAGUCCCACGGAGGGGCGUCCGACAACCUUCCCCACUGCAUCCUGUCCAGACUCCCUGGUCCCAGGCAGCCCUGUCUGCUCACCUGACUCAGGUCCUCUUCUAAUUCGCCAGAAUAAUAGAAAAGACAGAAAACAGAAACAGAAAUAAUAGAAAAGAACCCUCCCACCUGCUCACCGGCCAACCCGCUUGCACGUGCGCCGGGCCCUGGGCGGCCACAGCCACACCAGACAGAGGUGGCGACGUGCUGUGCAAGGGGCAGUACGUGGGCGCACACACCCGCUGUUACCAUAACACGAAAAGAGCAGUGUCUGUUUCAACUUACAGAUUUUGUGGUAUGAGUUUCUUUUUUGUUAAAUGAAUGUUAUUACUUAAUUGAAACAGCAGAAAUAGUGCCAAUUAGCGUAAGUAACAGCAGGACUAAUUAAACAAAUGGUAUGUAUUUAAAAAUCUAACAAGACAGAGGGCACAGCUCCGUGGUGGAGUGUGUGCUUAGCAUGCACGAGGUCCUGGGUUCAGUCCCCAGCACCUCUGCUUAGAGAAGUAAAUAAACCUAAAUCGCCUCCCCCUGCAGAACAAACAAACAAACAAACAAACAAACAAAUCCAACCGUGUGUCUAUAAUGUCUCUUUCGCUCUCUGACCUACCAGUUUACUGUAACAUUUUUUUAACACUCUAGAGCUUUAUUUACACUUCUCAGGCUGUAUUAUUGUAUGUUCUUCAGAUACAUGAAAGCAAGACUUUUUCAGUGGGGGCGUAAAUACAACAGGGCCAGUCAGAUGGAUAGUACAGACAUUUAAUAGCAAUAACAAUCACGUCUCUGCCCCGUGCUCACGUCUCACUCUCAGUAUUCCCAGCAGCUGGGGGACGCCCUGCGCCUCUGCCCUGAAGGCAGGCAGCCGUCAGCCUCACAGCCACCCGACCCCCGACUGGCGCCCUGCCUGGCCACACCGAUGCCUGCGGCAUCCACCGUGCAGACCCCGAGACUGCGGGCCAAAGCGUCUGAGCGCACAGCCCUGGGCUCACGCAGUCCUUGGGGCUGCAGGCGCGGUUCCCAGCUCUCCAAGCACGCACUCUGCGACCGAGGCUGGCGCCGGUGGCGCCUGCCCCUCCGCGAGGCCCUUUGGUUCACUAGCGCUUCCUGUGGGCUCCCUGCGUCUGAACGUGCAUCGGGCGUCCUCCUGAGUUAGACCUGAGAGUGUCUCAGAGCAAAUGGGCUUAAAGCAGCCAUUUGAGCCUGUGAGAUCCAAGCUGGAAUCCAAGUUUGCAGGCACACCGUGACCUGACCCACGUGGACGGCUGCAAGAACAAAGGGUUCUGAAACCAAGAAGUUUGCAACAACCAACCACACCCCCUCCCUUUUUUAGUAUGAAAAGAACCUGGAUUCUGACUUGGGGAAGAUGGUUCUCUGGGACAUGAGUCCCCCAUCUUCUCU